rnacentral:rRNA from 1 species
UACGGGGGGGGCAAGCGUUGUUCGGAAUUACUGGGCGUAAAGGGCUCGUAGGCGGCCAACUAAGUCAGACGUGAAAUCCCUCGGCUUAACCGGGGAACUGCGUCUGAUACUGGAUGGCUUGAGUUUGGGAGAGGGACGCGGAAUUCCAGGUGUAGCGGUGAAAUGCGUAGAUAUCUGGAGGAACACCGGUGGUGAAGGCGGCGUCCUGGACCAACACUGACACUGAUGAGCGAAAGCCAGGGGAGCAAACGGG